rnacentral:misc_RNA from 1 species
GACUAUAAUUAUAUUAAUAUAUUUAUACCAUAUAAUAUCACGUAUUUGUAUCAUAUAAUCUUUUUAAUUAAAUAUUGUUUUAGAAAUUAUUAAUGAAAAAAUACGAAAUUUGUUUUUAUAUUCGCAAGUACAUACUCAAGGCUUUGGAUGGCAUACCAAAGUCAAGUUUAUGUAAACAUUAACUAAUCAUAUACUGCCAGGCCGUAGCAAUCACAACAUAAUAAUAAUAAUUACUAGAACUAGCUCUAGAAGUAACUACAGAUUGGAAAAGAAAAGGCCAAUUUGUUACUAGAUACUAGCUAAUAACAAAGAAUAACUAAUCAAUUAAUUAACUACCUAACCUAAUUUAAAAAAGAAGAAUACACCAUGUGAGAGUCCCACAUCGGUUGGGAAGACAAAGGAGGCCACCUGGUUUCCCUAUAAAAGAAAAGUCAAGAGUAGCAUUUGGC